rnacentral:tRNA from 1 species
GGAGGGGUGGCGGAGUGGUAACGCGUCCGCCUGCAGAGCGGAUUCUCGUAAGAAUGACCAGACGCAGAUAAGUGGGUUCGAUUCCCACCCCCUCCU